ensembl:Mt_tRNA
CAUUAAGAAGCUAAAUAAGCAUUAACCUUUUAAGUUAAAGACUGGGAGUUUAAAUCUCCCCUUAAUGA